rnacentral:rRNA from 1 species
UCGAGCGAACGGACGAGAAGCUUGCUUCUCUGAUGUUAGCGGCGGACGGGUGAGUAACACGUGGAUAACCUACCUAUAAGACUGGGAUAACUUCGGGAAACCGGAGCUAAUACCGGAUAAUAUUUUGAACCGCAUGGUUCAAAAGUGAAAGACGGUCUUGCUGUCACUUAUAGAUGGAUCCGCGCUGCAUUAGCUAGUUGGUAAGGUAACGGCUUACCAAGGCAACGAUGCAUAGCCGACCUGAGAGGGUGAUCGGCCACACUGGAACUGAGACACGGUCCAGACUCCUACGGGAGGCAGCAGUAGGGAAUCUUCCGCAAUGGGCGAAAGCCUGACGGAGCAACGCCGCGUGAGUGAUGAAGGUCUUCGGAUCGUAAAACUCUGUUAUUAGGGAAGAACAUAUGUGUAAGUAACUGUGCACAUCUUGACGGUACCUAAUCAGAAAGCCACGGCUAACUACGUGCCAGCAGCCGCGGUAAUACGUAGGUGGCAAGCGUUAUCCGGAAUUAUUGGGCGUAAAGCGCGCGUAGGCGGUUUUUUAAGUCUGAUGUGAAAGCCCACGGCUCAACCG